CAGAGAGAGAGGAGAAGAGAGAAUCCCAAGCAGGCUCUGCUCUGUCAGCACUGAGCCCGAUGCGUGGCUCGAAGUCAGAAACCAUGACAUCAUUGACUUGAGCUGUAAUCAAGAGUUGGAUGCUUAACCGACUGAGCCACCCAGGCAUCCCAAAGUAUGUUUAGUUUUGUAAAAAACUACCAGGUUGUCUUCCAUAGUAGCUGUACUAUUUUAUGUUC